CCUACGGGAGGCAGCAGUAGGGAAUCUUCCACAAUGGGCGAAAGCCUGAUGGAGCAACGCCGCGUGGGUGAAGAAGGUCUUCGGAUCGUAAAACCCUGUUGUUAGAGAAGAAAGUGCGUGAGAGUAACUGUUCACGUUUCGACGGUAUCUAACCAGAAAGCCACGGCUAACUACGUCCCAGCAGCCGCGGUAAUACGUAGGUGGCAAGCGUUAUCCGGAUUUAUUGGGCGUAAAGGGAACGCAGGCGGUCUUUUAAGUCUGAUGUGAAAGCCUUCGGCUUAACCGGAGUAGUGCAUUGGAAACUGUGAGACUUGAGUGCAGAAGAGGAGAGUGGAACUCCAUGUGUAGCGGUGAAAUGCGUAGAUAUAUGGAAGAACACCAGUGGCGAAAGCGGCUCUCUGGUCUGUAACUGACGCUGAGGUUCGAAAGCGUGGGUAGCAAACAGGAUUAGAUACCCUUGUAGUC
rnacentral:rRNA from 1 species